GCCAGGGCGGCCAGGGCGGUCGCCAGUUCCGCCCAGGACCCCCGGGCGCCCGAGCCCGGGCCGCCCCCGGCGCCGGAGCCCGCGCCGCCGCGGCAGCGCAGCACCAGCAGGAAGCGGACGGUCUCCCCCAGGUUGCCCGCCCUCCCCCACCUUUGCCCACUCUAAGAAGCUUCCCGCUGUUCUGUAAGAAUGUUUUUGGUGUCUCCCGCACUGGACUGUGAAGUCAAGGAUAGAGACCCUCUCACUGAUCUGUCUACUCCUCACCUUUGAGUUCCAGGUCGCGUCCCAGGGCAGCCGCCCUCAUCCUGGUAGUGGCCGCGCGAAGCUGCAGCCGCCGCCUCCGCGUCUGGAGGUCGGGGCUCGAGGAUUCCACAUCCAGCUCUGGGUUGUCGAGCUGCUCGGU